rnacentral:rRNA from 1 species
CUACGGGAUGCUGCAGUCGAGAAUCUUCGGCAAUGGACGAAAGUCUGACCGAGCGACGCCGCGUGCGGGAUGAAGGCCUUCGGGUUGUAAACCGCUGUCAGAGGGAAGGAAAUUUUGACCGAUCCUCAAAGGAAGUACGGGCUAAGUUCGUGCCAGCAGCCGCGGUAAGACGAACCGUACAAACGUUAUUCGGAAUCACUGGGCUUAAAGGGUGCGUAGGUGGUCUAUUAAGUUGGGUGUGAAAUCCCUCGGCUCAACCGAGGAACUGCGCUCAAUACUGGUAGACUUGAGGGAGAUAGAGGUGAGCGGAACUGAUGGUGGAGCGGUGAAAUGCGUUGAUAUCAUCGGGAACACCUGUGGCGAAAGCGGCUCACUGGAUCUCUUCUGACACUGAGGCACGAAAGCUAGGGGAGCGAACGGGAUUAGAUACCCUAGUAGUC